GCCUGAGUGGCUCAGUCAGUUAAGCGUCUGACUUUGGCUCAGGUCAUGAUCUCGCGGUUCGUGAGUUCAAGCCUCACAUCGGGCU
rnacentral:tRNA from 1 species